rnacentral:rRNA from 1 species
ACGGGCUUGGCCGAAUCAGCGGGGAAAGAAGACCCUGUUGAGCUUGACUCUAGUCCGACUUUGUGAAGAGACAUGAGANGGUGUAGCAUAGGUGGGAGCGCGAGCGACCUUGAAAUACCACUACUUUUAUCGUUUCUUUACUUAUUCAGUCGAGCGGAAAGCGGGGCGCAAGCCCCUCGCUUCUGGAAUUAAGCUUUCGACCUCGUUUGCCGAAGGCGAUCCGCUCUGAAGACCGUGUCAGGCGGGGAGUUUGACUGGGGCGGUACAUCUGUCAAAAGGUAACGCAGGUGUCCUAAGGCGAGCUCAGCGAGGACGGAAACCUCGCGUAGAGCAAAAGGGCAAAAGCUCGCUUGAUUUUGAUUUUCAGUACGAAUACAGACCGUGAAAGCGUGGCCUAUCGAUCCUUUUGACUUUAGGAGUUUUAAGCAAGAGGUGUCAGAAAAGUUACCACAGGGAUA